ACCAGGUGCGGUUGCGCACACCUGUAGCCCCAGCUACUUAGGAGGCUGUGGCAGGAGGAUCGCUUGAGUACAGGAGCUCUGGGCUGUAGUGCACUAUGCUGAUCUGGUGUCUGCACCAAGUUUGGCAUCAAUACAGUGACCUCUUGGGAGCAGAUCAAAACUCCUGUGCUGAUUCAGAAGUGGGAUCACGCCUGUGAAUAGCCACUAUACUCUAGUCUGGGCAACAUGGCAAGACUCUGUUUCC
rnacentral:SRP_RNA from 1 species